AAGUCGUAACAAGGUUUCCGUAGGUGAACCUGUAAAACCCCCGUGAACCUACAGCCCUGUUCGCCCGCCGUUCGGACAGCAAUCCCUAGUAAAUCACUGUUGAACAGAGUUUGAUUAGGGACCUCUGUACGGAAGGAUUGCGGUUUGCGUGCAAUUGAGUGGUAGCGCAAGCAUCCUGGUGCCUUUUAGACGGUUAUCGUGUGGAAGUGACGAUAACGUUACCGUGUGUCAGUGACGGUAACCUGUCAACGAGGUGACUUCUAACACACGACCGGCAACCGGGAUCCAGGCCGAAAGGUCCCUAACCACCCCUCGCAAGAAUUUAGCGUGCACCUAAGGGUCGUACGCACCCCCAAACUACUGUUAACAAUGGAUAUCUUGGUUCUC
rnacentral:misc_RNA from 1 species